AACGAACGCUGGCGGCAGGCCUAACACAUGCAAGUCGAGCGCCUAGUUUACUAGGAGCGGCGGACGGGUGAGUAACACGUGGGAAUAUGCCCUAUAGUACGGAAUAGCCUUUGGAAACGGAGAGUAAUACCGUAUACGCCCUUUGGGGGAAAGAUUUAUCGCUAUAGGAUUAGCCCGCGUUAGAUUAGGUAGUUGGUGGGGUAAUGGCCUACCAAGCCUACGAUCUAUAGCUGGUUUGAGAGGAUGAUCAGCCACACUGGGACUGAGACACGGCCCAGACUCCUACGGGAGGCAGCAGUGAGGAAUAUUGGACAAUGGGCGCAAGCCUGAUCCAGCCAUGCCGCGUGAGUGAAGAAGGCCUUAGGGUCGUAAAGCUCUUUCGCUAGGGAAGAUAAUGACGGUACCUAGUAAAGAAACCCCGGCUAACUCCG
rnacentral:rRNA from 1 species